AGUGAACGCUGGCGGUAGGCCUAACACAUGCGAGUCGAACGGCAGCACAGUAAGAGCUUGCUCUUACGGGUGGCGAGUGGCGGACGGGUGAGGAAUACAUCGGAAUCUACUUUUUCGUGGGGGAUAACGUAGGGAAACUUACGCUAAUACCGCAUACGACCUACGGGUGAAAGCAGGGGAUCUUCGGACCUUGCGCGAUUGAAUGAGCCGAUGUCGGAUUAGCUAGUUGGCGGGGUAAAGGCCCACCAAGGCGACGAUCCGUAGCUGGUCUGAGAGGAUCAGCCACACUGGAACUGAGACACGGUCCAGACUCCUACGGGAGGCAGCAGUGGGGAAUAUUGGACAAUGGGCGCAAGCCUGAUCCAGCCAUACCGCGUGGGUGAAGAAGGCCUUCGGGUUGUAAAGCCCUUUUGUUGGGAAAGAAAAGCAGCAGGUUAAUACCCCGCUGUUCUGACGGUACCCAAAGAAUAAGCACCGGCUAACUUCGUG
rnacentral:rRNA from 1 species